rnacentral:rRNA from 1 species
CCUACGGGUGGCAGCAGUGGGGGAUAUUGGGCAAUGGGCGCAAGCCUGACGCAGCAAUGCCGCGUGGACGAAGAAGGCUUUCGGGUUGUAAACUUCUAUUCUCAGGGACGAAGAAAGUGCGGGUACCUGGGGAGUAGGCCAGGGUUAACUACGUGCCGGCAGCCGGGGUAAUACGUUGGUGGAAGGGGUAAUCCGGAUUUAUUGGGUGUAAAGGGCGUGUAGGGGGGAGGGCAAGUCAGAUGUGAAAACUCAGGGCUCAACCCCGGGCCUGCAUUUGAAACUGUGUGUCUUGAGUGCGGGGGAGGCAAUCGGAAUUCCGUGUGUAGCGGUGAAAUGCGUAGAUAUUCGGAGGAACACCAGUGGCGAAGGCGGAUUGCUGGACAGUGACUGACGCUGAGGCGCGAAAGCGUGGGGAGCAAACAGGAUUAGAUACCCGUGUAGUC